rnacentral:misc_RNA from 1 species
AGCGCUGAUAGGAAAACGAGGGAAAUGAAGCGGAGUAUCCAAUCCAGAUACUAUGGCUGCUCUCAGUCACCAAAUCUGCCCUUCCACUCUACCAUUGUUGCACAGUUCCUCCCAAAAUCCAAUUCUUUCAAAACCUCAGCUUUCUGUUUGUUCUAAGCUUUCGAGGCCUUCAUUUUCUCUAUUUGCUGCUCAACCCAAUUCCUCUUCUCAAUCUUCUCCUUCCAUUUUCCUCCCUCUCCUAGAAAAUGCACGAAUUGAUCAACGGGAGCAAGAGAUAGAGAAACAAGAGGAAGAGGACGAGAACCUCACAGACCCAAUCAUCAGAUUCUUCAAAUCCCGCACUUCAACCCAAGAUCCGACCCACGAAGGCAAAUUCUCCCUCCAGAAAAACCGCCGCACUCUGUGGCGCCUCUCGACGGACUUCCAAUCCGAUGCUGAACCUGAUAUUGAAGUUGUUUUUACCAAAAAUGAAAACCGACAUAUGGGUUCUUCAAGUUCGGAUUCGAUUCCAUUGCCUGAGGGAAUUGUGGGGGAAAUAAUCCAAGUUGCCAGGGACUUACCUGAGAAUUCUACGUUGGGAGAGCAAUUGAGUGCUUUUGAGGGGAGG